rnacentral:rRNA from 1 species
AGAAGAUACUAAGGGCGCACGGCGGAUGCCUUGGCACAGGAAGUCGAAGAAGGACGCGGCAAGCUGCGAUAAGCUCCGGGGAGGCGCAAACGGCCUUCGAUCCGGAGAUCUCCGAAUGGGGGAACCCAGCAGGGGUCAUGCCCUGCUACCCGCGCCUGAAUGAAAUAGGGCGCGAGGAGGCAACCCGGGGAACUGAAACAUCUAAGUACCCGGAGGAAGAGAAAUCAACCGAGAUUGCGGGAGUAGCGGCGAGCGAAACCGCACCAGCCCAAACCCAUGCACGUGCAAGCUUGAGGGCGUUGCUGCAUGAGGGGUUGUGGGACCGCGCAUUCCAUGGGCCUCAGACCAUGGACGCAGUUACAAAUCCGCGCGGAAGCGGAACGGCCUGGGAAGGCCGGCGGAACAGGGUGAGAGCCCCGUACGCGAAUCCGCGCGGACUGCGAGUGCGGCACCCGAGUAGCGCCGGGCACGUGAAACCCGGUGCGAACCUGGGGGGACCACCCUCCAAGGCUGAACACUCUCCUGUGACCGAUAGCGAACCAGUACCGUGAGGGAAAGGUGAAAAGCACCCCGAGAGGGGAGUGAAACAGUACCUGAAACCGUGCGCCUACAAGCAGUCGGAGCCCCCGAGCGGGGUGACGGCGUGCCUUUUGUAGAAUGAGCCAGCGAGUUGCGGUAUGCGGCGAGGUUAAGGUUUGAACCGAGCCGCAGUGAAAGCGAGCCUUUAAGAUGGCGAUAGAGUCGCAUGCUGCAGACGCGAAGCCGGGUGAGCUAUCCAUGGGCAGGCUGAAGCGGGGGUAAGACCCCGUGGAGGGCCGAACCCACUUCGGUUGAAAACGGAGGGGAUGACCCGUGGAUAGGGGUGAAAGGCCAAUCAAACCCGGAGAUAUCUCGUUCUCCCCGAAAUAGCUUUAGGGCUAGCCUCGGCCGUUCUCCGACGGCGGUAGAGCACUGGAUCGUCGAGGGGGCUUCACCGCCUACCGACACGAACCAAACUCCGAAUGCCGCCGGAUCAGAGGCCGGGAGUCAGAACAUGUGGGCUAAGCUGUGUGUUCGAGAGGGAAACAGCCCAGACCGCCCGCUAAGGUCCCCAAGUUUAUGCUGAGUGGCAAAGGAUGUGCGUUUGCCUAGACAACCAGGAUGUUGGCUUAGAAGCAGCCAUGCAUUUAAAGAGUGCGUAACAGCUCACUGGUCAAGUGGACAUGCGCCGACAAUUCACGGGGCUAAGCAUAACACCGAAGCGGCGGACUAAUCUAUAUUAGUGGUAGGGGAGCUUUCCCCGCAGCGGAGAAGCCGAGAGGGCGACCCUCGGUGGAGCGCGGGGAAGUGAGAAUGCUGGCAUGAGUAACGAGAGCGGCGCGAGAAACGCCGCCGCCGUAAGCCUAAGGGUUCCUGGGCAAGGCUAAUCCUCCCAGGGUCAGUCGGGAGCUAAGGCGAGGCCGAGAGGCGUAGCCGAUGCGCAACAGGCGGACAUUCCUGUACCGCCUGCGGACCGCUAUCACCGACGGGGUGACGGAGAAGGGUAGCCGAGCGGGGUUCUGGACGUCCCCGUGAAAGCGCGUAGGGAGCAUCGCAUGGAAAUCAGCGGUGCAUGUAUCCUGAGACGCGAGACGAAAGCUUAUGCUGAAGUCGGCGAGCCCAUGCUUCCGAGAAAAACCUCUAGGAAGGGACGCAGGCGCCCGUACCAAAACCGACACAGGUGGGCAGGUAGAGCAUACCGAGGCGAUCGGGAGAACCAUGGUUAAGGAACUCGGCAUACUGACUCCGUAACUUCGGGAGAAGGAGUGCCCCUGGCGGUGACGGGACUAGCUCCCCGAGCGGCCGGGGGUCGCAGCGAAACGGCCCAAGCGACUGUUUAUCAAAAACACAGGACUCUGCAAAGCCGUAAGGCGACGUAUAGGGUCUGACGCCUGCCCGGUGCUGGAAGGUUACGCGGAUGGGUCAGCCGAAAGGCGAAGCUCUGAAGCCAAGCCCCAGUAAACGGCGGCCGUAACUAUAACGGUCCUAAGGUAGCGAAAUUCCUUGUCGGGUAAGUUCCGACCUGCACGAAUGGCGUAACGAUUUGGGCGCUGUCUCAACCAUGGACCCGGUGAAAUUGUAUUAUUCGUGAAGAUGCGAAUUACCUGCGGAAGGACGGAAAGACCCCGUGAACCUUUACUGCAGCUUGACAUUGAUCGUUGGCUCGGCGCGUAGAGGAUAGGCAGGAGGCU